rnacentral:misc_RNA from 1 species
CUUAAGUGAUUGUGAGUUAUAAUAAACUAGCAUGUAUUUACAAUGCUGAUAACUAUAAAGGUAGCGAUUGUAGAAAAAAAUUAAUUAAUUUGCAAUCGCAUUGUCAUUAGGUCGUCUCGGAGCAUGUUGCACAGAUGGGUACCUUCCCGCAUGCUACAAGUCAGUAUAAAGACAAAAUUUCAACUCAAUGAAAUAUGAGUAGAUGAACGUCAAGAGAAUCUAACCAGAAGAUUUAGAAAAAAAGAACUGCGAUUAAAUGGUAUUGAAUUCAACUGUCGGAUGCCUGGAGAAUGACAUAAGGGCCAGACUAAUCGCGGUUCGGAAAGAUUUUAUCACUUCCGGAGACAAAAGAGGACCCAAGCCCUUGAAGAUACUUAUUACCGUUUCCCAGGUACUUGAAA